AUUGAACGCUCGCGGCAUGCUUUACACAUGCAAGUCGCACGAGUGGCGGACGGGUGAGUAAUAUAUCGGAACGUGCCCAGUAGCGGGGGAUAACUACUCGAAAGGGUGGCUAAUACCGCAUACUAUUGGAUCGGCCGAUAUCGGAUUAGCUAUUUGGUGGGGUAAAGGCUCACCAAGGCAACGAUCCCUAGCUGGUCUGAGAGGAUGAUCAGAAAAACGGGGACUGAGACACGGCCAAGACUCCUACGGGAGGAAGCAGGGGGGAAGAUUGCACAAUGGGCGCAAGCAUGAGGCAGCCAUGCCGCGUGUAUGAAGAAGGCCUUAGGGUUGGAAAGUACUUUCAGGCGGGAGGCGUUACCGACAGAAGAAGCACCGGCUAACUCCGUGCCAGCAGCCGCGGUAAUUC
rnacentral:rRNA from 1 species